GCCAGCUAACCCUGUGGUAUGCAGCUGACAGUCUACAGUUGGUACCCAGUCGUCCCAGCUUACUCUUGAGUGAUAUUAGAAAGAGACAGAAAAGGCAGGGGAGAGAGAGGGUUGACAUGCAGCAAAGGGCCAAGGCUGGACUCGAAUGCAGGCUGCUGCGGGAAGGAUAUGUGGCGUGUGCUCUACAAGGAAAGAGAAGAACUGAUCUGAUAGACCAUGAUUGAUGGCAUCCCAACCCACCCUCACCUGAAUUGCAGAGAUGUAUACCUCUGUCCUCAAAAAUAACACCCAUAAUCACCCUGUCUUGUGUGCCUGUGUGUCAUUCACUGUUCUUCACAUUAUGUGCAGGUGAUUUAUCUUGAAGGCCCUACCAGUUGUUUGGCAAUUAAAAAUAAAUGGACA